GACGAACGCUGGCGGCACGCUUAACACAUGCAAGUCGAACGAGAGAGAAGAUUAGCUUGCUAAACUUCGAUCUAGUGGCGGACGGGUGAGUAACACGUGAGGAACCUGCCUAUCAGAGAGGGAUACCGUUUGGAAACGAACGUUAAUACCACAUAACGUAACGAUACCGCAUGGUAAUGUUACCAAAGAUUUAUCGCUGAUAGAUGGCCUCGCGUCUGAUUAGCUAGUUGGUGAGGUAACGGCCCACCAAGGCGACGAUCAGUAGCCGACCUGAGAGGGUGACCGGCCACAUUGGGACUGAGACACGGCCCAAACUCCUACGGGAGGCAGCAGUGGGGAAUAUUGCACAAUGGGGGAAACCCUGAUGCAGCGACGCCGCGUGAGUGAAGAGUAUUUCGGUAUGUAAAGCUCUAUCAGCAGGGAAGAAAAUGACGGUACCUGACUAAGAAGCCCCGGCUAACUACGUG
rnacentral:rRNA from 1 species